rnacentral:rRNA from 1 species
GCAGAACGCGAAGAACCUUACCAGGCCUUGACAUGUCCAGUUUGGAUUCCAGAGAUGGUUUCCUUCACCUCGGGUGGCUGGAACACAGGUGCUGCAUGGCUGUCGUCAGCUCGUGUCGUGAGAUGUUGGGUUAAGUCCCGCAACGAGCGCAACCCUCGUCCUUAGUUGCCAUCAUUAAGUUGGGAACUCUAAGGAAACUGCCUAUGAUAAGUAGGAGGAAGGUGGGGACGACGUCAAGUCAUCAUGGCCCUUACGGCCUGGGCUACACACGUGCUACAAUGGCAUCGACAAUGGGCAGCUAACCCGCAAGGGUACGCGAAUCCCCAAACGAUGUCUCAGUUCGGAUUGUCCUCUGCAACUCGAGGGCAUGAAGCUGGAAUCGCUAGUAAUCGUAGAUCAGCAUGCUACGGUGAAUACGUUCCCGGGUCUUGUACACACCG